UUAUUGGCUGUUUUGACAGCCAACAAAGUUCACCAAAAAGAGUUAG
rfam:Picea glauca, whole genome shotgun sequence.